rnacentral:rRNA from 1 species
ACGCAGAGUACAUGGGUAACAAGAGUUCAUCGCUAUUGGAGAAGCUUGUGUCCGAUUAGUUAGUUGGUGAGGUAAUGGCUCACCAAGGCAAUGAUCGGUAGUUGGUCUGAGAGGAUGAUCAACCACAUUGGGACUGAGACACGGCCCAAACUCCUACGGGAGGCAGCAGUAGGGAAUAUUGGACAAUGAGCGAAAGCUUGAUCCAGCAAUGCCGCGUGAAUGAUGAAGGCGUUAUGCGUUGUAAAGUUCUUUUACCAAGGAUGAUAAUGACAGUACUUGGAGAAUAAGCACCGACAAACUAUGUGCCAGCAGUCGCGGUAAUACAUAGGGUGCUAGCGUUACUCGGAAUUACUGGGCGUAAAGAAUAUGUAGGAGGAUUUAUAAGUCAGAAGUGCAAUCCCUAAGCUUAACUUAGGAACUGCUUUUGAUACUAUAAAUCUAGAGUAAGAUAGAGAAUAGCGGAAUUCUUAGUGUAGGGGUUAAAUCCAUAGAUAUUAAGAAGAACACCAAAAGCGAAGGCAGCUAUUUAGGUCUUUACUGACUCUGAGAUAUGAAAGCGUGGGGAGCAAACAGGAUUAGAUACCCUGGUAGUCCACGCCCUAAACGAUGAGUGCUAAGUGUUUGGAUUAAGAUCUGAGCGCUACAGCUAACGCGUAAAGCACUCCGCCUGGGGAUUACGGUCGCAAGACUAAAACUUAAACGGAAUUGACGGGGGCCCGCACAAGCGGUGGAGCAUGUGGUUUAAUUCGUCUCUAACCGAAGAACCUUACCAGUUCUUGACAUAUUAUUUAUAAGUCUGACCAGAGAUGGCAGAUGUGGGCAACCUAUAUAAUACAGUUGAUUCAUGGCUGUCGUCAGCU